rnacentral:miRNA from 1 species
GACAGUCAGCAGUUGGUCUGUG